AUUGAACGCUGGCGGCAUGCCUUACACAUGCAAGUCGAACGGCAGCACGGGAGCUUGCUCCUCUAGAUUCAGCGGCGGACGGGUGAGUAACACGUGGGCAACCUGCCCUGUAGAUUGGGAUAACUCCGGGAAACCGGGGCUAAUACCGAAUAAUCCUUCGGACCUCAUGGUCCGAUGUUGAAAGACGGUUUCGGCUGUCACUACAGGAUGGGCCCGCGGCGCAUUAGCUAGUUGGUGAGGUAACGGCUCACCAAGGCCACGAUGCGUAGCCGACCUGAGAGGGUGAUCGGCGACACUGGGACUGAGACACGGCCCAGACUCCUACGGGAGGCAGCAGUAGGGAAUCUUCCACAAUGGACGAAAGUCUGAUGGAGCAACGCCGCGUGAGUGAAGAAGGUUCUCGGAUCGUAGAACUCUGUUGUGAGGGAAGAACAAGUACCGGAGUAACUGCCGGUGCCUUGACGGUACCUCAUUAGAAAGCCACGGCUAACUACGUGCCAGCAGCCGCCGCAG
rnacentral:rRNA from 1 species